rnacentral:rRNA from 1 species
UAUUGGGCAAUGGAGGAAACUCUGACCCAGCGACGCCGCGUGCGGGAUGAAGGCCUUCGGGUUGUAAACCGCUUUCAGCAGGGAAGAAGCGAGAGUGACGGUACCUGCAGAAGAAGCACCGGCUAACUAUGUGCCAGCAGCCGCGGUAAUACAUAGGGUGCAAGCGUUGUCCGGAAUUAUUGGGCGUAAAGAGCUCGUAGGUGGUUCGUCACGUCGGAUGUGAAAAUCUGGGGCUUAACCCCAGACCUGCAUUCGAUACGGGCGAGCUAGAGUGUGGUAGGGGAGACUGGAAUUCCUGGUGUAGCGGUGGAAUGCGCAGAUAUCAGGAGGAACACCAAUGGCGAAGGCAGGGUCUGGCCAUUACUACACGAGAGCGAAA